UGCGUAGGCGGUGCGGAAAGUUGGGUGUGAAAUCCCUCGGCUUAACCGAGGAAUUGCGCUCAAUACUACCGUGCUCGAGGGAGAUAGAGGAAUGCGGAACUUACGGUGGAGCGGUGAAAUGCGUUGAUAUCGUAGGGAACACCGGUGGCGAAAGCGGCAUUCUGGAUCUCUUCUGACGCUGAGGCACGAAAGGCUGGUAAGCAAACG
rnacentral:rRNA from 1 species